GAUGAAGAACGCAGCGAAAUGCGAUACGUAAUGUGAAUUGCAGAAUUCAGUGAAUCAUCGAAUCUUUGAACGCAUAUUGCGCUCUCUGGUAUUCCGGAGAGCAUGCUUGUUUGAGUAUCAGUAAACACCUCAACUUCCAUAUCUUUUUUGAAAUGGGAGUUGGACUUGAGUGAUCCCAACGCUUUUCCUCACCGAAAAGUGGCGGGUUACUUGAAAUGCAGGUGCAGCUGGACUUUUCUCUGAGCUAUAAGCAUAUCUAUUUAGUCUGCCUAAAAAACAGAUUAUUACCUUUGCUGCAGCUAACAUAAAGGAGAUUAGUUCUUGUGCUGACUGAUGCAGGAUUCACAAAGACAGCUUCGGCCGACUUUGUAAACUCGAUCUCAAAUCAAGUAAGACUACCCGCUGAACUUAAGCAUAUCAAUAAGCGGGGA
rnacentral:misc_RNA from 1 species